AAAAUGAGACACUGUGUCAUUGCAAUUCAGCUUUGAAGUGUUCAGGUAGCAGACCAUUGACUUGUGAAAAUUAUUGAUUGGUUCAACAAACAAUCUACCAAAACAUAUUUGUUCGUAACACUACUAAUGAUACAGAAAAAAGACCACUCAAGACAAGAGAAAAGGACAAGGCAAUUAAAGGGAGGAAGCAAUGUGAGGAUGACACAUUUCCUGCCAAAGUCAGAAAAACUCAGCAGUCCCUGGAUCAAUAGACACUUGUCUAUAACACUAUCAGCCAAUUCUACAGGGUUUGGCCAAAGAAGAUUGUCGAAACUUUCAAGAUCAUGGUGAAACUUUCAAGACAGAAACCUGUUUGGCAGUUCUGAGGCUUUUCAACAUAAGCUUAAAUUCAAAAUUGCAAAUGUAAUGAACUAAAAUAAUAAAAUGAUGGGGGAAAACUUUU